rnacentral:ncRNA from 1 species
GCGAUUUAUAGAGGCAGGGUGUAAGUCCCUACCGGUGGUUAUAGUCCACAACUCUCUAUAGUACAGAGAUUGAUAAGGUGUAAUUCCUUAACCGACGGUAUAGUCCGGAUGAGAUAUGAAUCGG